rnacentral:rRNA from 1 species
ACACAUGCGAGUCGAGGGGCAGCGGAUAAAGUAGCUUGCUACUUUUGCCGGCGACCGGCGAACGGGUGCGUAACGCGUAUGCAACCUACCUCGAACUGGGGGAUAAUCCGGAGAAAUCUGGUCUAAUACCCCAUAACAUCCGAAGGGACAUCCCUUUGGGUUGAAAGCUCCGGCGGUUCGAGAUGGGCAUGCGUUGUAUUAGCUAGUUGGUGAGGUAACGGCUCACCAAGGCUACGAUACAUAGGGGGACUGAGAGGUUUACCCCCCACACUGGUACUGAGACACGGACCAGACUCCUACGGGAGGCGGCAGUGAGGAAUAUUGGUCAAUGGACGCAAGUCUGAACCAGCCAUGCCGCGUGCAGGAUGACGGCUCUAUGAGUUGUAAACUGCUUUUGUACGAGGGUAAACCCGGAUACGUGUAUCCGGCUGAAAGUACCGUACGAAUAAGGAUCGGCUAACUCCGUGCCAGCAGCCGCGGUAAUACGGAGGAUCCAAGCGUUAUCCGGAUUUAUUGGGUUUAAAGGGUGCGUAGGCGGCCCGGUAAGUUAGAGGUGAAAGCCCGUGGCUCAACCACGGAAAUGCCUCUGAUACUGCCAGGCUAGAGAAUAGUUGCUGUGGGCGGAAUGUGUGGUGUAGCGGUGAAAUGCUUAGAGAUCACACAGAACACCGAUUGCGAAGGCAGCUCACAAAGCUAUUUCUGACGCUGAGGCACGAAAGCGUGGGGAGCAAACAGGAUUAGAUACCCUGGUAGUCCACGCCGUAAACGAUGAUGGCUCGUUGCCGGCGAUACACUGUCGGUGACUUAGCGAAAGCGUUAAGCCAUCCACCUGGGGAGUACGUUCGCAAGAAUGAAACUCAAAGGAAUUGACGGGGGCCCGCACAAGCGGAGGAACAUGUGGUUUAAUUCGAUGAUACGCGAGGAACCUUACCCGGGCUUGAAAGUUAGUGACGAUUGCCGAAAGGCGAUUUCCCUUCGGGGCACGAAACUAGGUGCUGCAUGGUUGUCGUCAGCUCGUGCCGUGAGGUGUCGGGUUAAGUCCCAUAACGAGCGCAACCCCUACUGUUAGUUGCCAGCGGAUAAUGCCGGGAACUCUAGCAGAACUGCCACCGUAAGGUGAGAGGAAGGUGGGGAUGACGUCAAAUCAGCACGGCCCUUACGUCCGGGGCGACACACGUGUUACAAUGGUCGGUACAGAGGGCAGCUACCCCGCGAGGGGAUGCAAAUCUCGAAAGCCGAUCUCAGUUCGGAUCGGAGGCUGAAACUCGCCUCCGUGAAGUUGGAUUCGCUAGUAAUCGCGCAUCAGCCAUGGCGCGGUGAAUACGUUCCCGGGCCUUGUACACACCGCCCGUCAAGCCAUGGAAGUUGGGGGUGCCUGAAGUCCGUCACCGUAAGGAGCGGCCUAGGCAAAACCU